rnacentral:rRNA from 1 species
UGACCUGGGCUACACACGUGCUACAAUGGGCGGUACAAAGGGUCGCGAACCCGCGAGGGGGAGCCAAUCCCAAAAAGCCGACUCUCAGUUCGGAUUGCAGGCUGCAACUCGCCUGCAUGAAGCCGGAAUCGCUAGUAAUACGCGGAUCAGCAUGCCGCGGUGAAUACGUUCCCGGGUCCUU